GCAGCCGCGGUAAUACGGAAGGUCCGGGCGUUAUCCGGAUUUAUUGGGUUUAAAGGGAGCGCAGACCGGAGGUCAAGCGUGACGUGAAAUGUAACCGCUCAACGGCUGAACAGUGUCGCGAAAUGGCUUUAUUGAGAUGAGUUCGAUGUGGGCGGAAUUCGUGGUGUAGCGGUGAAAUGCUUAGAUAUCACGAAGAACUCCGAUUGCGAAGGCAGCCCACAAGGCCUUUACUGACGCUAAAGCUCGAAGGUGCGGGUAUCGAACAGGAUUAGAUACCCUGGUAGUCCGCACGGUAAACGAUGAAUGCCCGCUGUUUGGGAUAUACUGUGAGGGGCCAAGAGAAAUCGUUAAGCAUCCCACCUGGGGAGUACGCCGGCAACGGUGAAACUCAAAGGAAUUGGACGGGGGCCGGCACAAGCGGAGGAACAUGUGGUUUAAUUCGAUGAUACGCGAGGACCCUUACCCGGGCUUGAACUGCAGGCGUACGAUACAGAGAUGUUGAGGCCCUUCGGGGCGCCUGUGGAGGUGCAGCAUGGUUGUCGUCAGCUCGUGCCGUGAGGUGUCGGCUUAAGUGCCAUAACGAGCGCAACCCCUUUCUCCAGUUGCCAUCAGGUUAUGCUGGGCACUCUGGAGACACUGCCACCGUAAGGUGUGAGGAAGGUGGGGAUGACGUCAAAUCAGCACGGCCCUUACGUCCGGGGCUACACACGUGUUACAAUGGGUGGUACAGAGAGUCGGUGCAUCGCAAGUUGCAUCUAAUCAUGAAAGCCAUCCUCAGUUCGGAUUGGGGUCUGCAACCCGACCCCAUGAAGCUGGAUUCGCUAGUAAUCGCGCAUCAGCCAUGGCGCGGUGAAUACGUUCCCGGGCCUUGCACACACCGCCCGUCAAG
rnacentral:rRNA from 1 species